rnacentral:rRNA from 1 species
AGCGUACACGGUGGAUGCCCUGGCAGUCAGAGGCGAUGAAGGACGUGCUAAUCUGCGAUAAGCGUCGGUAAGGUGAUAUGAACCGUUAUAACCGGCGAUUUCCGAAUGGGGAAACCCAGUGUGAUUCGUCACACUAUCAUUAACUGAAUCCAUAGGUUAAUGAGGCGAACCGGGGGAACUGAAACAUCUAAGUACCCCGAGGAAAAGAAAUCAACCGAGAUUCCCCCAGUAGCGGCGAGCGAACGGGGAGCAGCCCAGAGCCUGAAUCAGUGUGUGUGUUAGUGGAAGCGUCUGGAAUGGCGUGCGAUACAGGGUGACAGCCCCGUACACAAAAAUGCACAUACUGUGAGCUCGAUGAGUAGGGCGGGACACGUGGUAUCCUGUCUGAAUAUGGGGGGACCAUCCUCCAAGGCUAAAUACUCCUGACUGACCGAUAGUGAACCAGUACCGUGAGGGAAAGGCGAAAAGAACCCCGGCGAGGGGAGUGAAAAAGAACCUGAAACCGUGUACGUACAAGCAGUGGGAGCACGCUUAGGCGUGUGACUGCGUACCUUUUGUAUAAUGGGUCAGCGACUUAUAUUCUGUAGCAAGGUUAACCGAAUAGGGGAGCCGAAGGGAAACCGAGUCUUAACUGGGCGUUAAGUUGCAGGGUAUAGACCCGAAACCCGGUGAUCUAGCCAUGGGCAGGUUGAAGGUUGGGUAACACUAACUGGAGGACCGAACCGACUAAUGUUGAAAAAUUAGCGGAUGACUUGUGGCUGGGGGUGAAAGGCCAAUCAAACCGGGAGAUAGCUGGUUCUCCCCGAAAGCUAUUUAGGUAGCGCCUCGUGAAUUCAUCUCCGGGGGUAGAGCACUGUUUCGGCAAGGGGGUCAUCCCGACUUACCAACCCGAUGCAAACUGCGAAUACCGGAGAAUGUUAUCACGGGAGACACACGGCGGGUGCUAACGUCCGUCGUGAAGAGGGAAACAACCCAGACCGCCAGCUAAGGUCCCAAAGUCAUGGUUAAGUGGGAAACGAUGUGGGAAGGCCCAGACAGCCAGGAUGUUGGCUUAGAAGCAGCCAUCAUUUAAAGAAAGCGUAAUAGCUCACUGGUCGAGUCGGCCUGCGCGGAAGAUGUAACGGGGCUAAACCAUGCACCGAAGCUGCGGCAGCGACGCUUAUGCGUUGUUGGGUAGGGGAGCGUUCUGUAAGCCUGUGAAGGUGUGCUGUGAGGUAUGCUGGAGGUAUCAGAAGUGCGAAUGCUGACAUAAGUAACGAUAAAGCGGGUGAAAAGCCCGCUCGCCGGAAGACCAAGGGUUCCUGUCCAACGUUAAUCGGGGCAGGGUGAGUCGACCCCUAAGGCGAGGCCGAAAGGCGUAGUCGAUGGGAAACAGGUUAAUAUUCCUGUACUUGGUGUUACUGCGAAGGGGGGACGGAGAAGGCUAUGUUGGCCGGGCGACGGUUGUCCCGGUUUAAGCGUGUAGGCUGGUUUUCCAGGCAAAUCCGGAAAAUCAAGGCCGAGGCGUGAUGACGAGGCACUACGGUGCUGAAGCAACAAAUGCCCUGCUUCCAGGAAAAGCCUCUAAGCAUCAGGUAACAUCAAAUCGUACCCCAAACCGACACAGGUGGUCAGGUAGAGAAUACCAAGGCGCUUGAGAGAACUCGGGUGAAGGAACUAGGCAAAAUGGUGCCGUAACUUCGGGAGAAGGCACGCUGAUACGUAGGUGAAGCGACUUGCUCGUGGAGCUGAAAUCAGUCGAAGAUACCAGCUGGCUGCAACUGUUUAUUAAAAACACAGCACUGUGCAAACACGAAAGUGGACGUAUACGGUGUGACGCCUGCCCGGUGCCGGAAGGUUAAUUGAUGGGGUUAGCGCAAGCGAAGCUCUUGAUCGAAGCCCCGGUAAACGGCGGCCGUAACUAUAACGGUCCUAAGGUAGCGAAAUUCCUUGUCGGGUAAGUUCCGACCUGCACGAAUGGCGUAAUGAUGGCCAGGCUGUCUCCACCCGAGACUCAGUGAAAUUGAACUCGCUGUGAAGAUGCAGUGUACCCGCGGCAAGACGGAAAGACCCCGUGAACCUUUACUAUAGCUUGACACUGAACAUUGAGCCUUGAUGUGUAGGAUAGGUGGGAGGCUUUGAAGUGUGGACGCCAGUCUGCAUGGAGCCGACCUUGAAAUACCACCCUUUAAUGUUUGAUGUUCUAACGUGGACCCGUGAUCCGGGUUGCGGACAGUGUCUGGUGGGUAGUUUGACUGGGGCGGUCUCCUCCUAAAGAGUAACGGAGGAGCACGAAGGUUGGCUAAUCCUGGUCGGACAUCAGGAGGUUAGUGCAAUGGCAUAAGCCAGCUUGACUGCGAGCGUGACGGCGCGAGCAGGUGCGAAAGCAGGUCAUAGUGAUCCGGUGGUUCUGAAUGGAAGGGCCAUCGCUCAACGGAUAAAAGGUACUCCGGGGAUAACAGGCUGAUACCGCCCAAGAGUUCAUAUCGACGGCGGUGUUUGGCACCUCGAUGUCGGCUCAUCACAUCCUGGGGCUGAAGUAGGUCCCAAGGGUAUGGCUGUUCGCCAUUUAAAGUGGUACGCGAGCUGGGUUUAGAACGUCGUGAGACAGUUCGGUCCCUAUCUGCCGUGGGCGCUGGAGAACUGAGGGGGGCUGCUCCUAGUACGAGAGGACCGGAGUGGACGCAUCACUGGUGUUCGGGUUGUCAUGCCAAUGGCACUGCCCGGUAGCUAAAUGCGGAAGAGAUAAGUGCUGAAAGCAUCUAAGCACGAAACUUGCCCCGAGAUGAGUUCU